GGAUGUGAGGGCGCUCUGGCUGUGACACCUGUCACCCCACUGAUCGCCAGGGUUGAUUCGGCUGAUCUGGCUAGCUAGGUGGGUGUCCCCUUCCUCCCUCACCACUCCAUGAAGGUCCUUCCCUCAGUCAAAGAGGAUGACCAUCCCCAAUGGAGAAGGACCAUUCUUCAGUCAAGGGUAUACCAGCAGGCGCACUCCCCUGCUGGAAUCCAAACCAGCUCUCAAGGCCACUCCUUGACCCACCAGCACCUGUCUACCUGGGAGGCUCAAGUUCUCUGAAGGCAAAGCCGAGCUAACUUGCUUCCUC
rnacentral:snRNA from 1 species